UACGAAGGGGGCUAGCGUUGCUCGGAAUCACUGGGCGUAAAGCGCACGUAGGCGGAUUUUUAAGUCAGGGGUGAAAUCCUGGAGCUCAACUCCAGAACUGCCUUUGAUACUGGGAAUCUCGAGUCCGGAAGAGGUGAGUGGAACUGCGAGUGUAGAGGUGAAAUUCGUAGAUAUUCGCAAGAACACCAGUGGCGAAGGCGGCUCACUGGUCCGGUACUGACGCUGAGGUGCGAAAGCGUGGGGAGCA
rnacentral:rRNA from 1 species